CAGUAGCCGCGGGAAUACGUAGGUCCCGAGCGUUGUCCGGAUUUAUUGGGCGUAAAGCGAGCGCAGGCGGUUAGAUAAGUCUGAAGUUAAAGGCUGUGGCUUAACCAUAGUACGCUUUGGAAACUGUUUAACUUGAGUGCAAGAGGGGAGAGUGGAAUUCCAUGUGUAGCAGUGAAAUGCGUAGAUAUAUGGAGGAACACCGGCGGCGAAAGCGGCUCUCUGGCUUGUAACUGACGCUGAGGCUCGAAAGCGUGGGGAGCAAACAGGAUUAGAUACCCCGGUAGUCCCUGUCUCUUAUACA
rnacentral:rRNA from 1 species